UACGUAGGUGGCAAGCGUUGUCCGGAUUUACUGGGCGUAAAGAGCGCGCAGGCGGUCGUACAAGUCGCGUGUGAAAGCCCCCGGCUCAACUGGGGAGGGUCACGCGAUACUGUUCGACUCGAAGGCAGGAGAGGGAAGCAGAAUUCCCGGUGUAGUGGUGAAAUGCGUAGAUAUCGGGAGGAAUACCAGUGGCGAAGGCGGCUCACUGGACCAUAACUGACGCUGAUGCACGAAAGCUAGGGGAGCAAACAGG
rnacentral:rRNA from 1 species